UUUCAUACAAACAGAAACACUAAAAUCAUUUUCAUAACAGACCAUGUAUAUACAAAAGGGAGUACAACUCAUAAAGUCAAGCAUCAUCUAUACAACAUACACUAUCUGUACAAUUACAUGUCCACACUAGCUAUUACAUAACUCUUCUCUUUCUCUGUACCCUGCUGACCUCUCUGGACUCUGUACCUGCAAGACUGGGGUUGAGGGAGAGGGUGAGCUAUACUAGCCCAGUGAGUAGUACAUAUAAAACAUGUGAUAAAACAUGAUCUCAUGGAAUGCAUCAUAACACAAGUAAAUCACAUAAUCUCAUACUGACUCAUUCAAAAUUCCCCCACAUUGCCCGGCCCACGAAGGAGCUCCUCAGGUCUUCAUUCAGCACCCUAUGGUACCGUGUGCCCGGCCCUUUCAGGGCUCCUCAGGUCUUCAUUUAGGGGGCUAAUGAAUCCAAGCUACGCCCGAUCUGUACAUGCACUGAUUAAUGCAACAUCUUCGUGCUUACUAAUGCAAUACUAUAAACAUGGCAUAAAUGAUGCAUGAAACAUGCUAAAAGGUUUGAGUGCUCAUUGAAAGAUUUAGUUCAAUUCCACUCACCUCUAGCUGACUCUGUACUCACUCUACAGGUUCUGAAGCAGUGCUCACUGCUGACCUCCUUGGUUCCUCUGGUCCGUUCCUACACAGGUGGACUGAAAUGAGGGACCAAACUAACGCAAGCACAUCUCUAAGAAACUCCCCAAAAACCCUCUAAAGCAUCCUAGAACAAUCACAUAAAACAUGCAAAAGAAAGCUGGACAGGGCACUUUCGGUAGCAGGUUCGGCAUCCGAAACUCCCCUCCAGAGACGAACCUCAUGCAUGUUCGGCGGCACCUUCGGCAGCCGAAAGUCUCGUCCAGAGACGAAACUCAACCUUCGGCGGCACUUUCGGCGGCCGAACCUUGCCUCCAGAGACGAAAGUCCAAAUGUUCGGGGGCAAGCUUUGGCAGCCGAAACUGCCUCCACAAGGGGUUCGGCAACCGAACCUGGUUUUGCCCGUUGGGCAGAAACCUGCUCUGUUUCAUGCAAACUUCACCCAAAACCUAUCCAACAUGCAUAGCAACUACUCCCAACUAGCAUAUACCAUAUAACAUGCAUAAAGAGGUCCUAACCUCUCCAUCAAACAUACAAAUAACACUUAAGCAUGCAUAUACACCAAAGAUCAUUAAAAACCUCAACUAAACCCUAUCAUGCAUACUACCCAUAAAACUUCCAUAAAACCUUCAAAACUCAAGAAAGGAAGUUCAGGAUCUUCACUUACCUCUUCCAAACAAGAGCUUAAACGAUCCCAACGUGGAGAUAUGGAGAAANN
rnacentral:lncRNA from 1 species